rnacentral:SRP_RNA from 1 species
GCUGGGCGCAGUGGUGCAUGCCUGUAGUCCCAGCUACUCGGGAGGCUGAGGCAGGAGGAUCGCUUGAGCCCAGGAGUUCUGGGCUGUAGUGCGCUCUGCUGAUUGUCUGCACUAAGUUCAGCAUCAAUAUGGUGACCUCCCGGGAGCGGGGGACCACCAGGUUGCCUAAGGAGAGGUGAACCAGCCCAGGCUGAAAACGAAGAAGGUCAAAACUCCCAUGCUGAUCAGUAGUGGGAUUGCGCCUGUGAAUAGCCACUGAACUCCAGCCUGGGCAACAUAGCAAGACCCUGUCUUUU